UAUUGCGAUACGGGACGCUGCUUUGUUACGUUGUCGAUAGCUUUUUUGAUCUCCGUUGCACGAGGCAAGAGGACAUAUCAGUGCCUGCCCGAUGCACACUUGGCGAUAAUGGCGGCUGCAAUACUGGCGCCCACAGCAGUCGUCACAAUAGCAGACGACAGCGGAUGACACCGUAACAGACGACAGCGAGUGUCAGCCUUCGGAUAACGUUGGGCCUCUACCGAAAGGAUACGCAGACACGGCGGGAUGAAGCCGACAACUCUUACAGAUGCACCUGAGAAAAGGCGACUUGAAGAGAGGGAGCGUAACAGGGCAUCUGGGAGGCCGAAAUGAACUUGGAAGCGUAAAAGUGGUUAAGCGGCACGAGCAACCACUAACUGAAGAAAAUUUCGUUGUCAAGGAAAGUUUGGCAAGCUGCACACGGCACAAGACAGUGAGGUGUAAGUAAAAUUUUCCGUUCUUGCAAUUUUCAAAUUUUGCGCGACGCACACUAAAGCUCUAAAGAAUACACGUGUUCGUAAUGCUUAUUCAGCGUUUGGAAAUCUUUCCACACACUUUCAGCGGAAUACGUUCCACAAAUAAGUCCACAGCUCAGGUAAGGUCACUGUGGGUGUCGUAGGGGUCAGUUGUCCCAUAUCUGGUGGGGUAAGUUGUCACGUGCUUCAACUGGUAGAGGGGCUGACACACAAACUAUACCCGCGAGAAAAGUGUUUCAGUACCUUUAUUAGUACAUCUUAGAGAUCGUGCAAUUAUUUAGUGCCGCUUUUUACAUUAACAAUGCCUGUCUACAGCCAGUAAUGGCUAGCUGCAGUGCACCCACGAAUCCUGUACAGCUAGGACAGACGUCUACAUUGUGCAAAUGUAGGACUUAAGAUAAUAGGUUCUUUUCUGUUCGUUUAGUUUCCUUUCCAUGUGCACUUCCAAUGGGUAUUCCAUUCGGUACACCUCCACAAGAAGGAUUACAAUAAAAUGCAGCUGAGGCAACCUGCCCCAGCCCGUGUGACAACAUGCCCCGCUACUGGGGCGUAUUGUCAUACUUGACGACCUCCGCGCAAAUGUUUGUUUUUUACAUACUGUUUUGAAGCCAGCUUUAGUUUAAUAUGUGCGUUGUGUAGCCAAAAGAUCGCACUAAAUUUCAGCCUGGGUUUCAUCAACCUGUCGGACGUAGUUUCGUCACAGCAAAAUAAGAAGUAAAAGCUGUGACAACUCUCCCCGGUCUCCCCUACACAUCGCAGAACAAACAAUCAACGAAGUAAAGCCUAUGACUUUACAUGAGUAAACAGGAAUAGGACUUCACCAGGAAUAAACGGCACCCAAAUACUGCUGUGAAUUACUCCAUGGAAUAUUGCUGUCUGGUGUGCCACGAGGAGUAUACGAACUGAACCAGGAGUGGGUGUAGUGCAUGGUUUGCAAAGGCUGGUCACAUUGGUUUUGCAGUAACAAAUAUCCAUUUUAUGUUUGCCAGGACUGCACGGCAACUCUGUGGCUCCUGCCUGCAAUAUGCAGUUGUUUCAAAAUACUCCGCAACCAGUUGCAACGUUGGGGCAUAUUGAGACACUCUGCAUCCUGU